rnacentral:rRNA from 1 species
UUGCGAGUCAACAUAGCAAUAUGUGGCAUACGGCUCAGUAACACGUAGUCAACAUGCCCAGGGGACGUGGAUAACCUCGGGAAACUGAGGAUAAACCGCGAUAAGUCACUGCUUCUGGAAUGGGCAAUGACUUAAAUCUAUAUGGCCCCUGGAUUGGACUGCGGCCGAUCAGGCUGUUGGUGAGGUAAUGGCCCACCAAACCUGUAACCGGUACGGGCUCUGAGAGGAGGAGCCCGGAGAUGGGCACUGAGACAAGGGCCCAGGCCCUAUGGGGCGCAGCAGGCGCGAAACCUCUGCAAUAGGCGAAAGCCUGACAGGGUUACUCUGAGUGAUUUCCGUUAAGGAGAUCUUUUGGCACCUCUAAAAAUGGUGCAGAAUAAGGGGUGGGCAAGUCUGGUGUCAGCCGCCGCGGUAAUACCAGCACCCCGAGUGGUCGGGACGUUUAUUGGGCCUAAAGCAUCCGUAGCCGGUUCUGCAAGUCUUCCGUUAAAUCCACCUGCUUAACAGAUGGGCUGCGGAAGAUACUAUAGAGCUAGGAGGCGGGAGAGGCAAGCGGUACUCGAUGGGUAGGGGUAAAAUCCGUUGAUCCAUUGAAGACCACCAGUGGCGAAGGCGGCUUGCCAGAACGCGCUCGACGGUGAGGGAUGAAAGCUGGGGGAGCAAACCGGAUUAGAUACCCGGGUAGUCCCAGCUGUAAACGAUGCAGACUCGGUGAUGAAUUGGCUUUAUGCCAAUUCAGUGCCGCAGGGAAGCCGUUAAGUUUGCCGCCUGGGGAGUACGGUCGCAAGACUGAAACUUAAGGAAUUGGCGGGGGAGCACCACAAGGGGUGAAGCCUGCGGUUCAAUUGGA